rnacentral:rRNA from 1 species
UACGAAGGGUGCAAGCGUUAAUCGGAAUUACUGGGCGUAAAGCGCGCGUAGGUGGUUCAGUAAGUUGGAAGUGAAAUCCCCGGGCUCAACCUGGGAACUGCUUUCAAAACUGCUGAGCUAGAGUACGGUAGAGGGUGGUGGAAUUUCCGGUGUAGCGGUGAAAUGCGUAGAUAUAGGAAGGAACACCAGUGGCGAAGGCGACCACCUGGACUGAUACUGACACUGAGGUGCGAAAGCGUGGGGAGCAAACAGG